rnacentral:piRNA from 1 species
UCCACGCGGUGAAAGGACCAUGGGCUCCAGGC